rfam:Rattus norvegicus chromosome 16, whole genome shotgun sequence.
GGGGAUUUAGCUCAGCGGUAGAGCACUUGCCUAGGAAGCGCAAGGCCCUGGGUUCGAUCCCCAGCUCCG